rnacentral:sRNA from 1 species
UCCCUCUUGGCCCUGCCGAAAACAAGGUGGGCAAUUCCUGCCACCUGGAGCUCAUUUCCCCACUUGUCAAAUGGGUGUUAAGAAUUCCAUUGUGGUUUGCUACAUGGAGGUUCUCACUGUGUUGCCCAGGCUGGAGUGCAGUAGCAUGAUGAUAGCUCACUGCAGCCUCAAGCAAUCCUCCUGCCACACCUCCCAAGUAGCUGGAACUACAGGUGUGUGCCACCAUGCCUGGCUAAUUUUUUUAUUUUAUUUUAUUUUAUUUUAUUUUUUGUAGAGAUGGGGUCUCACUAUGUUGCCCAGGCUGGCCUCAAACGAUCCUCCUGCCUCGGUCUCUCAAAUUGUUGGGAUGACAGGUAUGAGCCACUGCACAUGGCCCAAGAGUUUUUGUUUGUUAGUUUUGCUUUUUGAGACGGAUUUUCACUCAUCUCCCAGGUUGCAGUGAGCUGAGAUCACGCCAUCGCAUUCCAGCCUGGGCAACAAGAGGGAAACUCCUUCCCCGCCUCCCGCCCAAAAAAAAAGAGAA